rnacentral:rRNA from 1 species
GACGGGGCCCGCACAAGCGGCGGAGCAUGCGGAUUAAUUCGAUGCAACGCGAAGAACCUUACCAAGGCUUGACAUACACCGGUAACGCCCAGAGAUGGGUGCCCCUUUGUGGUCGGUGGACAGGUGGUGCAUGGUUGUCGUCAGCUCGUGUCGUGAGAUGUUGGGUUAAGUCCCGCAACGAGCGCAACCCUCGUCCUAUGUUGCCAGCGGGUCAUGCCGGGGACUCAUGGGAGACUGCCGGGGUCAACUCGGAGGAAGUGGGGAUGACGUCAAAUCAUCAUGCCCCUUAUGUCUUGGGCUUCACGCAUGCUACAAUGGCCGGUACAAAGGGCUGCGAUACCGCGAGGUGGAGCGAAUCCCAGAAAGCCGGUCUCAGUUCGGAUUGGGGUCUGCAACUCGACCCCAUGAAGUCGGAGUCGCUAGUAAUCGCAGAUCAGCAACGCUGCGGUGAAUACGUUCCCGGGCCUU